rnacentral:tRNA from 1 species
GCGCCUGUAGCCCAAUCGGAUAGAGCAACGGCCUUCUAAGCCGUAGGUUGCAGGUUCGAUUCCUGCCAGGCGUACCA